UACGUAGGGUGCGAGCGUUGUCCGGAAUUAUUGGGCGUAAAGGGCUCGUAGGCGGUCUGUUGCGUCGGGGAGUGAAAACUCAGGGCUUAACCCUGAGCCUGCUUCCGAUACGGGCAGACUAGAGGUAUGCAGGGGAGAACGGAAUUCCUGGUGUAGCGGUGAAAUGCGCAGAUAUCAGGAGGAACACCGGUGGCGAAGGCGGGGUCUCUGGGCAGUAACUGACGUGAGGAGCGAAAGCGUGGGUAGCAAACAGG
rnacentral:rRNA from 1 species